rnacentral:rRNA from 1 species
GACGAACCGUCCAAACGUUAUUCGGAAUCACUGGGCUUAAAGGGUGCGUAGGCGGUCCGGUAAGUUGGGUGUGAAAGACCUCGGCCUAACCGAGGAAUUGCGCCCAAAACUGCCGGACUCGAGCAAGGCAGAGGUGAACGGAACUUAGGGUGGAGCGGUGAAAUGCGUUGAUAUCCUAAGGAACACCAGUAGCGAAAGCGGUUCACUGGGCCUUUUCUGACGCUGAUGCACGAAAGCCAGGGGAGCGAACGGG